UACAGUUUGAUCCUGGCUCACAUUGAACGCUGGCGGCAUGCUUUACACAUGCAAGUCGAACGGCAGCACGGGGGCAACCCUGGUGGCGAGUGGCGAACGGGUGAGUAAUGUAUCGGAACGUAUCCGGGAGUGGGGGAUAGCUCGGCGAAAGCCGGAUUAAUACCGCAUAUGCCCUGAGGGGGAAAGUGGGGGACCGUAAGGCCUCACGCUUUCGGAGCGGCCGAUAUCGGAUUAGCUAGUUGGUGGGGUAAAGGCCUACCAAGGCGACGAUCCGUAGCGGGUCUGAGAGGAUGAUCCGCCACACUGGGACAGAGACACGGCCCAGACUCCUACGGGAGGCAGCAGUGGGGAAUUUUGGACAAUGGGCGCAAGCCUGAUCCAGCCAUGCCGCGUGAGUGAAGAAGGCCUUCGGGUUGUAAAGCUCUUUCAGCCGGAAAGAAAUCGCCACUUCUAAUACGAGUGGUGGAUGACGGUACCGGAAGAAGAAGCACCGGCUAACUACGUGCCAGCAGCCGCGGUAAUACGUAGGGUGCGAGCGUUAAUCGGAAUUACUGGGCGUAAAGCGUGCGCAGGCGGUUCUGUAAGACAGAUGUGAAAUCCCCGGGCUCACCUGGGAACUGCAUUUGUGACUGCAAGACUAGAGUGUAGC
rnacentral:rRNA from 1 species